rnacentral:rRNA from 1 species
AGACCCGAAACCCGGUGAUCUAGCCAUGGGCAGGUUGAAGGUUGGGUAACACUAACUGGAGGACCGAACCGACUAAUGUUGAAAAAUUAGCGGAUGACCUGUGGCUGGGGGUGAAAGGCCAAUCAAACCGGGAGAUAGCUGGUUCUCCCCGAAAGCUAUUUAGGUAGCGCCUCGUGAAUUCAUCUCCGGGGGUAGAGCACUGUUUCGGCUAGGGGGCCAUCCCGGCUUACCAACCCGAUGCAAACUGCGAAUACCGGAGAAUGUUAUCACGGGAGACACACGGCGGGUGCUAACGUCCGUCGUGAAGAGGGAAACAACCCAGACCGCCAGCUAAGGUCCCAAAGUCAUGGUUAAGUGGGAAACGAUGUGGGAAGGCACAGACAGCCAGGAUGUUGGCUUAGAAGCAGCCAUCAUUUAAAGAAAGCGUAAUAGCUCACUGGUCGAGUCGGCCUGCGCGGAAGAUGUAACGGGGCUAAACCAUGCACCGAAGCUGCGGCAGCGACACUGUGUGUUGUUGGGUAGGGGAGCGUUCUGUAAGCCUGUGAAGGUGUGUCGUGAGGC